GACGAACGCUGGCGGCGUGCCUAAUACAUGCAAGUCGAACGAACUCUGGUAUUGAUUGGUGCUUGCAUCAUGAUUUACAUUUGAGUGAGUGGCGAACUGGUGAGUAACACGUGGGAAACCUGCCCAGAAGCGGGGGAUAACACCUGGAAACAGAUGCUAAUACCGCAUAACAACUUGGACCGCAUGGUCCGAGCUUGAAAGAUGGCUUCGGCUAUCACUUUUGGAUGGUCCCGCGGCGUAUUAGCUAGAUGGUGGGGUAACGGCUCACCAUGGCAAUGAUACGUAGCCGACCUGAGAGGGUAAUCGGCCACAUUGGGACUGAGACACGGCCCAAACUCCUACGGGAGGCAGCAGUAGGGAAUCUUCCACAAUGGACGAAAGUCUGAUGGAGCAACGCCGCGUGAGUGAAGAAGGGUUUCGGCUCGUAAAACUCUGUUGUUAAAGAAGAACAUAUCUGAGAGUAACUGUUCAGGUAUUGACGGUAUUUAACCAGAAAGUCACGGCUAACUACGUGCCAGCAGCCGCGGUAAUACGUAGGUGGCAAGCGUUGUCCGGAUUUAUUGGGCGUAAAGCGAGCGCAGGCGGUUUUUUAAGUCUGAUGUGAAAGCCUUCGGCUCAACCGAAGAAGUGCAUCGGAAACUGGGAAACUUGAGUGCAGAAGAGGACAGUGGAACUCCAUGUGUAGCGGUGAAAUGCGUAGAUAUAUGGAAGAACACCAGUGGCGAAGGCGGCUGUCUGGUCUGUAACUGACGCUGAGGCUCGAAAGUAUGGGUAGCAAACAGGAUUAGAUACCCUGGUAGUCCAUACCGUAAACGAUGAAUGCUAAGUGUUGGAGGGUUUCCGCCCUUCAGUGCUGCAGCUAACGCAUUAAGCAUUCCGCCUGGGGAGUACGGCCGCAAGGCUGAAACUCAAAGGAAUUGACGGGGGCCCGCACAAGCGGUGGAGCAUGUGGUUUAAUUCGAAGCUACGCGAAGAACCUUACCAGGUCUUGACAUACUAUGCAAAUCUAAGAGAUUAGACGUUCCCUUCGGGGACAUGGAUACAGGUGGUGCAUGGUUGUCGUCAGCUCGUGUCGUGAGAUGUUGGGUUAAGUCCCGCAACGAGCGCAACCCUUAUUAUCAGUUGCCAGCAUUAAGUUGGGCACUCUGGUGAGACUGCCGGUGACAAACCGGAGGAAGGUGGGGAUGACGUCAAAUCAUCAUGCCCCUUAUGACCUGGGCUACACACGUGCUACAAUGGAUGGUACAACGAGUUGCGAACUCGCGAGAGUAAGCUAAUCUCUUAAAGCCAUUCUCAGUUCGGAUUGUAGGCUGCAACUCGCCUACAUGAAGUCGGAAUCGCUAGUAAUCGCGGAUCAGCAUGCCGCGGUGAAUACGUUCCCGGGCCUUGUACACACCGCCCGUCACACCAUGAGAGUUUGUAACACCCAAAGUCGGUGGGGUAACCUUUUAGGAACCAGCCGCCUAAGGUGGGACAGAUGAUUAGGGUGAAG
rnacentral:rRNA from 1 species